rnacentral:rRNA from 1 species
UACGGGGGGAGCAAGCGUUGUUCGGAUUUACUGGGCGUAAAGGGCGCGUAGGCGGCGUGACAAGUCACUUGUGAAAUCUCCGGGCUUAACUCGGAGCGGCCAAGUGAUACUGUCGUGCUAGAGUGCGGAAGGGGCUACUGGAAUUCUCGGUGUAGCGGUGAAAUGCGUAGAUAUCGAGAGGAACACCUGCGGCGAAGGCGGUCAGCUGGGCCGACACUGACGCUGAGGCGCGAAAGCUAGGGGAGCGAACGGG